rnacentral:lncRNA from 1 species
CAGAAACCGCACCCCACUUCCCAUAGCCAUGUUCUUCCCCAGACCUUACCCUGCCCAAGAGGUUGUCCUGAAGUAAUGUCUGCUGCAGCACUGGGGCCACCUCCUCCAAGCUCAACAUGUGGCAAAGUUCAUUUUUAACGUGCUGGAUUUUCCGAUGAAAGCCUGAAACCUGCACAUCUGAAGAUGCCUUCGCCAUGAUGCAAUGGAUGCCAAACACGACAUACACCCUUGGGACGGUGACCUCAGCCAUCUGCAACAAGGCUCUCAGAACCAGUCCUUUGAUUAUAAAAAAAGCAGCAGCUUUCACUAACCAAGCAUCUUUAAUCCAAGCCAAAUUACAGAAAACUCUCUAACUUAGAGGUGAUCGUCCGUACGGCAGAUCAUGACAACAUGAAAAACGUAAGCUAAGAUGUUGAACACAGCCAGAACUGAAAAUAAAAG